GAUUAUGGCUCAGGAUGAACGCUAGCUACAGGCUUAACACAUGCAAGUCGAGGGGCAGCAUUGGGGUAGCAAUACUCAGAUGGCGACCGGCGCACGGGUGAGUAACACGUAUCCAACCUGCCGCUUACUCGGGGAUAGCCUUUCGAAAGAAAGAUUAAUACCCGAUGGUAUAAAGAGUUCGCAUGUUCUCUUUAUUAAAGAAUUUCGGUAAGCGAUGGGAUGCGUUCCAUUAGAUAGUUGGCGGGGUAACGGCCCACCAAGUCUACGAUGGAUAGGGGUUCUGAGAGGAAGGUCCCCCACAUUGGAACUGAGACACGGUCCAAACUCCUACGGGAGGCAGCAGUGAGGAAUAUUGGUCAAUGGACGAGAGUCUGAACCAGCCAAAAGUAGCGUGAAGGAUGACUGCCCUAUGGGUUGUAAACUUCUUUUAUAAGGGAAUAAAGUGAGGGACGUGUCCCUUUUUGUAUGUACCUUAUGAAUAAGGAUCGGCUAACUCCGUGCCAGCCGCCGC
rnacentral:rRNA from 1 species